rnacentral:misc_RNA from 1 species
CAAACCUCAAGCUCACGCUUGGUGUUGGGCGUCGUCCUCACGGACGUGCCUGAAACCCGUAGGCAGCGGUGCCCGUCUCCCAGCGUAGUCAAGUUACCCGCUUCGGAGCGCGCGGCGCCGCCCGCCGGACGAACAACCACUUUUUUCUAUG